rnacentral:rRNA from 1 species
CCUACGGGAGGCUGCAGUGGGGAAUAUUGGGCAAUGGAGGCAACUCUGACCCAGCAACGCCGCGUGAAUGAUGAAGGUCUUCGGAUUGUAAAGUUCUGUGAUGGGGGAUGAACACAAUGACGGUACCCCAAUAGCAAGCCACGGCUAACUACGUGCCAGCAGCCGCGGUAAUACGGAGGUGGCAAGCGUUAUCCGGAAUGACUGGGCGUAAAGGGUGCGUAGGUGGUUUAGUAAGUCGGCGGUGUAAUUCCGGGGCUCAACCUCGGCGCUACCGCCAAAACUAUUAGACUUGAGUGCAGGAAGGGAAGGUGGAAUUCCUAGUGUAGCGGUGGAAUGCGUAGAUAUUAGGAGGAACAUCGGGGGCGAAGGCGACUUACUGGACUGUAACUGACGCUGAGGCACGAAAGCGUGGGGAGCAAACAGGAUUAGAUACCCUUGUAGUC